rnacentral:rRNA from 1 species
UACGUAGGGUGCGAGCGUUAAGCGGAAUUACUGGGCGUAAAGCGUGCGCAGGCGGCUUUACAAGACAGAUGUGAAAUCCCCGGGCUCAACCUGGGAACUGCAUUUGUGACUGCAAGGCUAGAGUACGGCAGAGGGGGAUGGAAUUCCGCGUGUAGCAGUGAAAUGCGUAGAUAUGCGGAGGAACAUCAAUGGCGAAGGCA